UUCAUCGGAAAUUACGAGGAGAUGGCUCAAUAACACCGCCGACCUCUUCUUCUCCAUUCCCUCACUCGCACCAAACCAUACCCUCCGCUUGAUGAAAAAACCUAGCCGCCGCCGAAGAGUAGAGACGGACAGAACGCUCCUCCCAUUUUGAACCCUAGGAGCCGCCAUUCCUCUCUCAAGCUGAAAACUGAGUUCGAAAUCUGCUGUUUAUUGCUGGAUACCUCGCUGAGCUCCACUCGAAUUGAUUCCAGCCUUUAUUUGGCUUUGUUUUGUACCUUUUCUGCUCCAGUAGGUAUCUUCUCUUACGUCUGUAUUUUGUUCAGAUCUGGUUUAAUGAAAAAUCAUGACUACUUCACUUUAUCUGUUAUUGCUGUUUGGAUUUGGCUGCCUUGAGUUCGAAAUCUGCUGUUUAUGAGUAUGAUGAUGAUCUUCCUAAGAUUGAUGUGAAGCCUGUUUACAACAAGGAUGAUUUUUUCGACUCUUUGUCAAGUAAUGCACUUGAUAAUGGCCCAAAUCAUGGAAGGAUCAGAUUCUCUAAGCAAAGGAAGAUAGACGUUGAGACGUUUGGAGAUUUCUCAAGAUACAGGGGUGGCCGUGGUGGUUGUGGUCCUGGACGUGGUAUACGUUCUCGAGGUUCAUAUUAUGGAAGAGGAGGAUAUGGAGGAAAUGGAGGAAAUGGGUAUGGUUAUGGUUAUGGUGGUAGAGGCAGAGGCCGUGGUAUGCCAUCCUGUGCUUCGUAAAAGCGUUUGCUGUAUCAUCUCGAGGUUGAGCUAGAAGCAAAUAUCUGCCUCUUUUAGGCAGGACAGUGUUAGUACUAUUCGAUCCUGUAACGUUUGUGCAUCUUUGUUUACGUUUUAAGGAAUAAAUUCAGGCUGUUAAAGUAUGUUCAAUUUUCAUCCUUGGGCUAGAGCUCAUUUAUCUAGCUGCUAAUUAUACAAGCACAACGGCUAUAGUCCUAAUGUAGUCUGCUUGCUGAUUGCAAUGUGAAAAUUAGACAGUUCCCAUUUUCCUCUAUUAAUGUUCGUGUACAACUCUAACUUUGAAGAAGUUUAAUAACUUUUAAGAGAUUUGUUUGUGUCGAAAUUGCAAAUUCAAGUUGCUGGUAAAGUUGUUGCCAUAGAAAGUUUGGUGUUACCAGAGUGCAUAUGGAAGAAGAUGCAGGGAAGCUGCUUCAUACCGAUGGUGGGAGUUACUCGCAGGAAAGAACUCCUCCUUACUCAUUUAAACAAUCUUGUGCUCGUCAUCUUCGUUUUCUAUUUUCUGCCCCUUUCUUUCAGAUAGCACAUUCUUGCAUUUAUCAGAUGCAUCACAUUGUAAUGUUUAAGUUCCUUUGAUGAUUAUAUCAAAUUGUGUAACUUAUUUGUAUAUUUGCGUGAAUGGAGUUAGAUUAUUUGAUCUAAUAUACUUGUUACUUCUAUUGAUAAAGAAUUCCUUAUGGUUUCAAGAUUCACUAUGAUUCUUAGACGGUUGUUGAUUUAUUUGGCUCUCUGUUGCAGGUUGACUUAAAUAGUCCUCUAUAAUAAGUUCAGUGGACGACUUGAUUUAGCCACACCUGCAAGUUCAGUUUCACUAUUUAUGAAAUUCUUGUGUUAGCAUUAAACUUAGUAAGGAACUUUACUUGUCAUUUUAAUGUGAAACAUGGUCUCUGGUUGGUCCCACAGGAGACUAGAUUUGCAUGCCAAGUUUAGCGAAAAUGACCUUUUAUAUUCGAAUGAACAUCAUUUCAGUUUCAUUUGGUGUAAACCACCUUCUCUGGAGAAACUUGAAACCAUAGAGAUGUUUAGCAAAUGAAUUCUCGUGUUCUCUUAAUUCCUUAAAAUACAUAUUACAUGCCAUUCAAGGCUUUAAGUGAAUGACUACUUUAUCCUAUGUAAUUGUUGCUAGAGUGACCGCAAUUUUCCCAUUAUUGCAACUUUCAUGUCAAUAACAUGGAUUCUUCUGCCUUAUGGAUCAUGUUUCUGCUUCAUCUGGCGUUAAUUUUUUACUGUUGCUUUUCUAUGUGCUGGAAAUUCUCCCCUAUAAGUGUUUAGCUUAAUUUGCAGAUUGGUAAGUCAGCAUUGUAUGUGAUGAACUGAUAUAUUUCAUCUUGCAUCAGGUGAAAAUUAAAAACUUGAACUCCUUCUCAUCGGUGAGUAGGGCCAUUGAUUAUGAAAUUUCAAGACAGGUGCUUCUACAUAGCCAAGGCCAGGUUGAUCAAAUUGUACAGGAAACUCGUCUAUGGGAGGAAGGUGCUCAGAAUUUUUUGAUGCAACAAUUGCAGCGGGUGCCGAUGUAAAGCUUGCUACCAAUUGGAUUAUGGGUGAUAUUGCUGCAUGUAUGAAAAAUGAAAAAGUGACUAUCAAUGAGAUUAAACUUACCCCUCAAGAACUUUGGGAGCUCAUAGCUUCCAUUAAAGAUGGGACUAUCAGUGGAAAUAUUGGGAGAUAAUUACAUUUUUCAUGCUGAUAUGUCAACUUUUUUGUUGGUCAAAAAUCAUUUCUAAUGCUUACUAUAUACAUUGUUAAUUAGAAGUUUAGUUCCAUUGAUCUUUCUCAACAUAUAUAAUAUUUUGGGUGCACUAGAUUGGGGGUUUGUCCAGUAACAAUUUAACGACCACUUUC